GCACCUUAUUAAAUGGGGAGUCGCCAAUUAUAGGAGCUACUAGUUUGCGUAGAAGUUUAUCUCCACUCUAUAUAGAAGUCGAAACUUUUUUCAGGGGCGAUGAAGUGUAUGAAUGAUGCCGACAUUUAAGAAGUAACAUUUUUUACAGAUUGUUUAGAUUUGGUAAAUAUGAUGUCUUUCUCAACUGAAUGUCCAACAUUUAUAAGAAAUUUAUAC
rnacentral:sRNA from 1 species